rnacentral:rRNA from 1 species
UACGUAGGGUGCGAGCGUUGUCCGGAAUUAUUGGGCGUAAAGAGCUUGUAGGCGGUCUGUCGCGUCUGCUGUGAAAAUCCGGGGCUCAACCCCGGACUUGCAGUGGGUACGGGCAGACUAGAGUGUGGUAGGGGAGACUGGAAUUCCUGGUGUAGCGGUGAAAUGCGCAGAUAUCAGGAGGAACACCGGUGGCGAAGGCGGUUCUCUGGGCAUGUUCUGACGCUGAGGAGCGAAAGUGUGGGGAGCGAACAGG